AGUGAAUAGAUACCCGGUAGUCCACGCCGUAAACGAUGAUAACUAGCUGGUCCGGCUCAUGGAGCUGGGUGGCGCAGCUAAACGCAUUAAGUUAGUCCGCCUGGGGAGUACGGUCGACAAGAUUAAAAACUUCAAAGGGAACUUGACGGGGGCCUGCACAAGCGGUGGAGCAUGUGGUUUAAUUCGAAGCAACGCGCAGAACCUUACCAGCCUUUGACAUCCUGGUCGCGGGUAGGAGAGAUCCGUUCCCUUCAAGUUCGGCUGGACCAGUGACAGGUGCUGCAUGGCUGUCGUCAGCUC
rnacentral:rRNA from 1 species